UGGGGAAUUGUUCGCAAUGGGCGCAAGCCUGACGACGCAACGCCGCGUGGAGGAUGAAGAUCUUCGGGUCGUAAACUCCUUUCGAUCGAGACGAAUUCCCUUGGGGUGAACAAUCCCGAGGGUUGACGGUACCGAGAGAAGAAGCCCCGGCUAACUCCGUGCCAGCAGCCGCGGUAAUACGGGGGGGGCAAGCGUUGUUCGGAAUUACUGGGCGUAAAGGGCUCGUAGGCGGCCAACUAAGUCAGACGUGAAAUCCCUCGGCUUAACCGGGGAACUGCGUCUGAUACUGGAUGGCUUGAGUUCGGGAGAGGGAUGCGGAAUUCCAGGUGUAGCGGUGAAAUGCGUAGAUAUCUGGAGGAACACCGGUGGCGAAGGCGGCAUCCUGGACCGACACUGACGCUGAGGAGCGAAAGCCAGGGGAGCAAACGGGAUUAGAUACCCCCGUAGUCC
rnacentral:rRNA from 1 species